UACGUAGGGGGCAAGCGUUGUCCGGAUUUAUUGGGCGUAAAGAGCGUGUAGGCGGCCGUACAGGUCAGCUGUGAAAACUCGAGGCUCAACCUCGAGACGUCGGUUGAAACCGUACGGCUAGAGUCCGGAAGAGGAGAGUGGAAUUCCCGGUGUAGCGGUGAAAUGCGCAGAUAUCGGGAAGAACACCAGUGGCGAAGGCGGCUCACUGGCCCGUUACCGACGCUCAGGCGCGACAGCGUGGGGAGCAAACAGG
rnacentral:rRNA from 1 species